rnacentral:rRNA from 1 species
AUGCUUUUCCUAAAGAUUAAGCCAUGCAUGUCUCCGAAAACGAGGUGACUUUCUCUCUGAAUCUGCGAACGGCUCCGCAAACCAGUUGUAAACCAAAGCAAGUAUGCCUGUCAAUGCCUGCCCUUAAUGCGGAAAGGCGGGGCCCCUUAUAUGGAUACCCCCGGUAAUCCUGAGGCUAAUACAUGACAAUGACCCCUGGCUGCUCUGGUGACCGGCGGCCUUCGGGCUGAGGCAUCGGGGUGGUAGGGGACGCACGAGCUGCUAGCUUGGCAAUAUGAUCGGGAAGGAACGUGCGUUCGGACCACCCUUACAGGGCGCUCGGCAGGUCGGCUUUCGGGCUGGCUUAGCUGUACGUGCUCGGUGGCUCUUGCAAUGUGCUUCUGACCUAUCAACUAGAUGGCAGCGUAAGGGACAUGCUAUGGUGACAACGGGUACAGAGGAUCAGGGUUCGAUCCUGGAGAGUGGGCCUGAGAGAUUGCUCAUACUUCUAAGGAAGGCAGCAGGCGCGCAACGUUCCCCUUGGACAACGUCCGAGGGCGUUAUGGGAAAUAUGGAUGGCUGCCCUCGUGGUGGCCAAUCCAAAUGGGUUUGUCGUAAACAGGCUCU